rnacentral:lncRNA from 1 species
AUGUUGAGGCUGAUGUUGAGGCUGAGGCUGAUGUUGAGGCUGAGGCUGAUGCUGAUGUUGAGGCUGAUGUUGAGGCUGAUGUUGAUGUUGAGGCUGAUGUUGAGGCUGAUGUUGAGGCUGAUGCUGAUGUUGAGACUGAGGCUGAUGUUGAGGCUGAUGUUGAGGCUGAUGUUGAGGCUGAUGCUGAUGUUGAGGCUGAUGUUGAGGCUGAUGCUGAUGUUGAGGCUGAUGUUGAUGUUGAGGCUGAUGCUGAUGAGGCUGAUGCUGAUGUUGAGGUUGAGGCUGAUGUUGAGGUUGAGGCUGAUGUUGAGGCUGAGGCUGAUGUUGAGGCUGAUGCUGAUGAGGCUGAUGCUGUUGUUGAGGCUGAUGCUGAUGUUGAGGUUGAGGCUGAUGUUGAGGUUGAGGCUGAUGUUGAGGCUGAUGUUGAGGCUGAUGCUGAUGUUGAGGCUGAUGCUGAUGUUGAGGCUGAUGUUGAGGCUGAUGUUGAGGCUGAGGCUGAUGUUGAGGCUGAUGCUGAUGUUGAGGCUGAUGCUGAUGUUGAGGCUGAUGUUGAUGUUGAGGCUGAUGUUGAGGCUGAUGUUGAGGCUGAUGCUGAUGUUGAGGCUGAUGUUGAGGCUGAUGCUGAUGUUGAGGCUGAUGCUGAUGUUGAGGCUGAUGCUGAUGUUGAGGCUGAUGUUGAGGCUGAUGUUGAGGCUGAUGCUGAUGUUGAGGCUGAUGUUGAGGCUGAUGCUGAUGUUGAGGCUGAUGUUGAUGUUGAGGCUGAUGUUGAGGCUGAUGCUGAUGUUGAUGCUGAUGUUGAUGUUGAGGCUGAUGUUGAGGCUGAUGCUGAGGUUGAGGCUGAUGUUGAUGUUGAGGCUGAUGUUGAGGCUGAUGUUGAGGCUGAUGCUGAUGUUGAGGCUGAUGUUGAUGUUGAGGCUGAUGUUGAGGCUGAUGCUGAUGUUGAUGCUGAUGUUGAUGUUGAGGCUGAUGUUGAGGCUGAUGUUGAGGCUGAUGCUGAUGUUGAGGCUGAUGUUGAUGUUGAGGCUGAUGUUGAGGCUGAUGCUGAUGUUGAUGCUGAUGUUGAGGCUGAUGUUGAGGCUGAUGCUGAUGUUGAGGCUGAUGUUGAUGUUGAGGCUGAUGUUGAGGCUGAUGUUGAUGUUGAGGCUGAUGUUGAGGCUGAUGUUGAGGCUGAGGCUGAUGUUGAGGCUGAGGCUGAUGUUGAGGCUGAUGCUGAUGUUGAUGAUGUUGAGGCUGAUGUUGAUGUUGAGGCUGAGGCUGAUGUUGAGGCUGAUGUUGAGGCUGAUGUUGAGGCUGAGGCUGAUGCUGAUGUUGAGGCUGAUGUUGAGGCUGAUGUUGAGGCUGAUGCUGAUGUUGAGGCUGAGGCUGAUGUUGAGGCUGAUGCUGAUGUUGAGGCUGAGGCUGAUGUUGAGGCUGAUGUUGAGGCUGAUGUUGAGGCUGAGGCUGAUGUUGAGGCUGAUGCUGAGGCUGAUGUUGAGGCUGAUGCUGAUGUUGAGGCUGAUGCUGAUGUUGAUGCUGAUGUUGAGGCUGAUGCUGAUGUUGAGGCUGAUGUUGAGGCUGAUGUUGAGGCUGAUGUUGAGGCUGAUGUUGAGGCUGAUGUUGAUGUUGAGGCUGAUGUUGAGGCUGAUGUUGAGGCUGAUGUUGAUGUUGAGGCUGAUGCUGAUGUUGAUGCUGAUGUUGAGGCUGAUGUUGAGGCUGAUGUUGAGGCUGAUGUUGAGGCUGAUGUUGAUGUUGAGGCUGAUGUUGAGGCUGAUGUUGAGGCUGAUGUUGAUGUUGAGGCUGAUGUUGAUGUUGAGGCUGAUGUUGAGGCUGAUGUUGAUGUUGAGGCUGAUGUUGAGGCUGAUGUUGAGGCUGAUGUUGAGGUUGAUGUUGAGGCUGAUGUUGAGGCUGAUGUUGAUGUUGAGGCUGAUGUUGAGGUUGAGGCUGAUGUUGAGGCUGAUGCUGAUGUUGAGGCUGAUGUUGAGGCUGAUGCUGAUGUUGAGGCUGAUGUUGAGGUUGAGGCUGAUGUUGAGGCUGAUGCUGAUGUUGAGGCUGAUGUUGAGGCUGAUGUUGAUGUUGAGGCUGAUGUUGAGGCUGAUGUUGAUGUUGAGGCUGAUGUUGAUGUUGAGGCUGAUGUUGAGGCUGAUGUUGAGGCUGAUGUUGAGGCUGAUGUUGAGGUCGAGGCUGAUGUUGAGGCUGAUGUUGAGGUUGAGGCUGAUGUUGAGGCUGAUGUUGAGGUUGAGGCUGAUGUUGAGGCUGAUGUUGAGGUUGAGGCUGAUGUUGAGGCUGAUGUUGAGGUUGAGGCUGAUGUUGAGGCUGAUGUUGAGGUUGAGGCUGAUGUUGAGGCUGAUGUUGAUGUUGAGGCUGAUGUUGAGGCUGAUGUUGAGGCUGAUGUUGAGGUUGAGGCUGAUGUUGAGGCUGAUGUUGAGGUUGAGGCUGAUGUUGAGGCUGAUGUUGAUGUUGAGGCUGAUGUUGAGGCUGAUGCUGAUGUUGAGGCUGAUGUUGAGGCUGAUGUUGAGGCUGAUGUUGAGGCUGAUGUUGAUGUUGAGGCUGAUGUUGAUGUUGAGGCUGAUGUUGAGGCUGAUGUUGAGGCUGAUGUUGAGGCUGAUGUUGAUGUUGAGGCUGAUGUUGAGGCUGAUGUUGAGGUUGAGGCUGAUGUUGAGGCUGAUGUUGAGGUUGAGGCUGAUGUUGAGGCUGAUGUUGAUGUUGAGGCUGAUGUUGAGGCUGAUGUUGAGGUUGAGGCUGAUGUUGAGGUUGAGGCUGAUGUUGAGGCUGAUGUUGAGGCUGAUGUUGAUGUUGAGGCUGAUGUUGAUGCUGAUGUUGAGGCUGAUGUUGAUGUUGAGGCUGAUGUUGAGGUUGAGGCUGAUGUUGAGGCUGAUGUUGAGGCUGAUGUUGAGGUUGAGGCUGAUGUUGAGGCUGAUGUUGAUGUUGAGGCUGAUGUUGAGGCUGAUGUUGAUGUUGAGGCUGAUGUUGAGGCUGAUGUUGAGGUUGAGGCUGAUGUUGAGGCUGAUGUUGAUGUUGAGGCUGAUGUUGAGGCUGAUGUUGAGGCUGAUGUUGAGGCUACCAUAA